rnacentral:tRNA from 1 species
CCUGUAGCUCAAUCGGUAGAGCGGCCCCUGCGAGGGGAAGGUUGCGGGUUCGAACCCCGUCAGG